rnacentral:rRNA from 1 species
UACGUAGGGUGCAAGCGUUGUCCGGAAUUAUUGGGCGUAAAGAGCUCGUAGGCGGUCUGUCACGUCGGCUGUGAAAACCCGAGGCUCAACCUCGGGCCUGCAGUCGAUACGGGCAGACUAGAGUUCGGUAGGGGAGACUGGAAUUCCUGGUGUAGCGGUGAAAUGCGCAGAUAUCAGGAGGAACACCAGCGGCGAAGGCGGCGCUCUGGGCCGGAACUGACGCUGAGGAGCGAAAGCGUGGGUAGCAAACAGG